rnacentral:rRNA from 1 species
UUGGAGGGCAAGUCUGGUGCCAGCAGCCGCGGUAAUUCCAGCUCCAAUAGCGUAUAUUAAAGUUGCUGCAGUUAAAAAGCUCGUAGUUGAAUUUCGGAACCAAUAUGUCGGUCGUGCCUCGGUACGUACUGGCAUCGUUGGUUUCUCCCUUCUGACGAACCAUGAUGUCAUUCAUUUGGUGUCGUGGGGAAUCAGGACUGUUACUUUGAAAAAAUUAGAGUGUUUAAAGCAGGCACACGCUUGAAUACAUUAGCAUGGAAUAAUGAAAUAGGACGUUUGAUUCUAUUUUGUUGGUUUCUAGGAUCGACGUAAUGAUUAAUAGGGAUAGUUGGGGGCAUUAGUAUUCAAUUGUCAGAGGUGAAAUUCUUGGAUUUAUUGAAGACUAACUACUGCGAAAGCAUUUGCCAAGGAUGUUUUCAUUAAUCAAGAACGAAAGUUAGGGGAUCGAAGACGAUCAGAUACCGUCGUAGUCUUAACCAUAAACUAUGCCGACUAGGGAUCGGAUGAUGUUAAUUUUUUAAUGACUCAUUCGGCGCCUUACGGGAAAC